CCGCACUGUCAAGUGAUUGGGCUUCCUCCAUAAUGAAGCUCCAGUCUCAUUCCGGUGCCAGAUCGACCUCAGUUUGCAGAAGGGCUGAGUUAGACUGCUGGCUCCUCCCUUUCGAAGGCUGAGAACAAAC